AGUCAAGGUGCCAGCUGAGGUAGCCCGAGCGAUCGGGUGAGUUAAGGUGCCUGUUGGGCUAGCCUGAGUGAUCGGCUGAAUCAAGGUGCCUGUUGAGCUAUCCUGAGUGAUCGGCUGAGUCAAGGUGCCUGUUGAGCUAUCCUGAGUGAUCGGCUGAGUCAAGGUUCCUGUUGGGCUAGCCUGAGGGAUCGGGUGAGUCAAGGUGCCUGUUGGGCUAACCUGAGCUUAUGGGUGAUUUAAGGUGCUUAUUGGACUAGCCUAAGUUUUUGGGCAAACCAAGGUGCUUACUGAGUUAACCCAGAGAACUUGGGUGAAUCAAUUUUCGAGUAGGGCUGGGCAAUUAAUUGAAAAUUAAUGAAAACCAAAUUUAUAAGUUCUAAUCAAUGUAAUCUUCCCCAUGUCAAUUACUUCGUUUUUUUUU